AUAGUUUUUUAAUUGGAAACUGGAAUGAAAGGUAGUUACUAAAAAGGAAGUUUUAUAUAAUAAUUUUGAAAUUAAAUUAAAAGUAAAAAUGCUUUUAUAAUUCCUUGGGACGAGAAGACCCUAGAAGCUUAAAAUUUGGAAUUUUGGGUUGGGGCAAUUAGUGAAGAGAUUAAUUUUUGGAAAAUUAUAAUAGUAAAGAAGAAGUUACUCUAGGGAUAACAGCGUUAUUUAAUUGACAAGUUCUUAUUAAUAGUUAUGUUUGCGACC
rnacentral:rRNA from 1 species